CAGCCCUGUAGGAGACACCUCCAGAGAAAGUAACAGCUCUCAAUUGAUUAGCUGAGGAGACCGAUUUUGUAAAUCACUACUUUUCUAACAACACUGGCACAGAUGGCCAAGCAUUCUCCCUUUUCUCAGAGCUGGUUUUCCAUCCCGGAAAGAGGUCUUACAUAUACAAAGUUACUCUAAUCAGUUGUGAGCAUGGUCAUAUAAAUUGUUAUUUAUUCAAAUUAUGGAAUAUUAUAAAGCAGUGAAAAACAAGUUAACUAUAACCAGAUGGAAUAACUUUGGUAUGUACUGUGUGACUUAAAUAUUGAGUUUAUUUUUAUCAAAUACCUGUCAAGAAAGAAAGUCAAUUCUGAAACAGCAGAAGCUCAAAGUUCUACAGAUGGCUUUCAAAGGAAUUUGAAUUAGACAUCAUUUGAUGUUGCAAAAAACAAUGAC
rnacentral:lncRNA from 1 species